CUGGUUAACUGACACCUGAUGGGAAGCUGCAGUCUCUUGGUUGACACUUCCUGUUCUUCAGAGGAAAUAAACACAUGUUCUUUCAAAAUAAGAGCCUGAUCCCAACUCUAGUUUGAAGAGAAACCUCCUGAAAAUCCUCAGUGAUUCAAACCUAUCAUCUCCAUCAGGAUGUCAGCACACUCUCACAUCACUGUUGGGUUACAGGUUGAGCACUACUCACCAAACUUAAUGAAAGUGAAAUAAAACUAAAGUAGGUGUUAAAAAACAUCUGAACAGUUUUCUUCCUGUUAACCUAGAAAGUAACUAAAGUGAGAUGACAAUAUUCAGAGUUUGGUCUUAGUUGUUCACAGCGCAUCACAAAGUGUUCCUCUUUUAACUUCGCACUGACAAAAAAUAAACUUGUCUCACAAACUUGUGCUCCUAUUUAGAUUGAAAAAACCUGAUUAAAAUAUUGAAAAUAAUAAAGACAUAAAUAAAAUGAUAUUACAUUAUGUUAGAACAACUUUUUAAACUAUAAAAACUAAAUCAAAACAACUCUGUUCUAACCACAUCAAUAGAGUCAAAUCUUAUAGAAUCAAAAUUUUCCUCAGUAGUUCUUUUCAAACUCCCUUUAAAAAGAUUCACUCAGAUUAACAGUUUAAAAGCUACGGGAAUAAAUUUUAACUGCCAGAGAGCAAAGCAGAACCUCUGAAGCUAUCUGCUUAUUUACACCAUCACUCAAGUGUGUGUGUGUGUGUGUGUGUGUGUGUGUGUGUGUGUGUGUGUGUGUGUGUUCUUGUACUUACCACAUACUGAGGACCAGAAUGAGUUUUUAACCAACAAAGUGAGGUCAUUUUUGGGAAGUGAGGACAUUUUGGCCGGUCCUCACUUUGUUUUCACUGAAAUCACUUCCUAAGGUUGUAAACAUGCUAUACUCUGUUUCUCUCAAAAGUCCUCAUUUUGGUGCAAGAAUCCGUUUUUCCACUCCGGAUUUUCACACAGUUUUGCUCUCUGGCUCCCACUACAGGCGAUUUUCUGGUACUGCACCCAAAUUAUUCCACAACUGCAAAGCAUGUAGUCCUCUGUUAUGUUGUGCUUACAGCUAUAAUAAAUAGUUUUGUACUUGACAUUUGCAAUUCUUAUUGUUUUUUGAAAAUAAUUAAAUGUAGAUUAAUAUAUUUAUUGAGCUUACUAGGUCCUGAGCACUGAAAGUGCAUGGACCCUCUUGAAAUUGCUCUGAUUAUCUUUCCUUCCAUCUUUCUUUCUUUCUUUCUUUUCACCUUAAAGUAAGUGGCUUUUGGGAGAGACUAAAGAUGCCUGUCAACUCAUGAAACUUUGCACAAAAUUUGAUGAUUGGAGAAAUGUUCAUUUAAUAUGGAUUUAAGGCACAGGCAUGGCAAAAUGGGUGGACACUGCCCCUAAGAGAGUGAGCUUUACAUGAAAAUAACUUUGUUGCUAACAAAUGACAUAACUGGCAUUAAGGAUUCAGAUUUAGAUGUGUGGCAAACCAGCUCUCCUCAGCUUCCUCAAGAAGAGAUGCUGUUGUACCUUCCCAAUGACAGUAAAUGUAUGACAGGCCCAGAGAGUUCUUCAGUACUGUUCACCCCCAGAAAUUUAAAACUGGAGACACUCUCCACUGCUUCACUACUGAUUAAAACUGGGUUAUGAUUUUUCCACUUCCUCCUGAAGUCCAAUAUAAUCUCCUUUGUCUUCUUGUUGUUCAACAUAGAUAACUGGUGGCACAUCAAAUUGUCAGGUUUUGCACCUCAUCUCUGUGUGCCAUCUUGUUGUUGUUAUGGAUCAAGCCUGUGAUCUUCAAGUCAUUUGUAGACCGAGUCCCUCUGUCCCUCACCCAUCACAACCUAUUCUAAAUAUUCUGGUGACACACUGCUAUACUUGCAUUCCUCAGUGAUGAUAACUCGUUAAGCUAUCAAAAUUUCCAUUGCCCACUUCACACGAUGAUGGAUGGACAGCUAUGUACAGCUGAAAAAAAACAGAGAACUGGUCAUUAAUACUUCCAACACACACAGCACAGUCCACCACUCCACCCUCAAAUCCAUCUGCAUCAAUAAUUACUGCUGAGAUUGUGGAGAGAUUGAUUUGAGUGCAGUGGACAAGCAGUAGUCCUAACCCCCUAACCCAAACUGGAGCUUAGCCCUAAAACACUGGGCUACAGACCUGGUUCUGACAAAUGUUUGUAGAGCUCCUGGAGGGUUUUCAAGACCAGUCUGAUCCAUGUCCCUAGCCCCUUCAAUUCCUAAGUUAUGGGCCUUUAUGUUUGAAAGGUCAGGAGGUCAUCAUGCAAAGUGAACCAUGAAAACUUUUACCUCCAUAACUCCUGAACCACUCAAGUAAGAAGGACACCCAGGGCACUGUUGCGUUCAGCAAAAUGAGGGCUACGUGUUGUCGUGAAGUGAAAAAUAUGCCCUCACAUUUCUGUGGAAUGUGCCAUCAUAAGAGGUCAAAAGUUGGUCAAAGCUUGAGAUUUUGUUGAAGGGCAUGGGUGGUGAACUUUGAUGUUUCGCAAGCAAAAGAAGGAAGCUGUUAUAACUCAGCUGUACAUGAUGGAAUCUGCCCCAAAACUUACAGGUAUGAUGAGACUCCCACCCUGAAGACAUCUCCAUGCCAAUAUUCAGUUAUCGUGUAUUUACCUCUCCUUGUUUCAGAUUCCCCCUUCCCUGCUUGUGUGGUUUUUUCCUCCUCCCUGAUUGUCUUCCCCCACCCUGAUUACUUUCACCUUAUUACCUCGUGUGUAUGUUUAUAGUCCCUGUGUUUCCCGUGUCUGUUGCCAGUUUGCCUUUUGUCCAUGUACCGAACUUUGCUGUCAGUCAACACUGUUACCUUGCCUACUCUGUGUCAGUUUUGCUUUGGAGUCUGCACCAUCAAGUAUCCCAGCCACAAUGCAUUCUCAUAAAUGAAAUGAACAUUGUGUGAAUAUUUGAAUGAUUUCUAAAAUCAGCUAAAGGAUGAAAUGACGUGACCUAACAAAUUGGGAAAGAAAGCCCAUCUCAAACUGAGUAUUUCAGUUAAAUAACCCACUGUAAUGAAGGAAGCUCUGUCAAUCUAGUCAAUUUGGUAUAAAAAAUGAAUGAAUUACAUCAUCGAUGAAUACUUGAUCUGAAAUAAUGUGAUUUAUAACAUAUAGGGCUAAAGGAUGAAGCAACGUGAUGUCGUGACCAGUAUGCUUGAAUGCAGGUUACACAAAACAAUUACUACUAAGGAAAUAAGGACCUUAUAAUCAGCUAUUUGUUAUGUAACAAUCUGAUCAAUUUUAAAAUCAAUCUGGAACAAUUCAUUAUGUAAGGGGUCAUUAACAGCUGUUUAACAUAUAUGGCGUUAGCAGCAAGUGUGUGUCGCAGGAUGACUUCCUUUUGCAGUGUUUCAUACAGUUGAGUCCUGGCAUUUAUCAAAUGUAAAGUCUUUUUAAAAACAACGCACUGUCAGUGGCAACUCUGCAACAAGCAAACAGGAGGUGACUUUGACAUCAUGCCCUGCUCUCACCAUAUAUGAAGUGUUACACAAUGUCAUCAGACAAAGCAUAGUUACUUGCACGAGUUUGACAGCGGGUUUAUUUGCCAACUGCCAGAAUACCAUGACGUACAUUAACUGUUAUCUAGUGUGCAACAGCAGAGUUUGUGCUUGUGUUCACAGCAAGUUAGCUAAUUGAAAUUAACCAGAAGAUCCGGAUGUUAUUCUCCAGUGUCUUUUCCCCCACUCCACUCCAGCAGACCCAACAGAGAGUAGAGACAGACAGUUGGGGAGUUGUGGAGGACAAAGCUUUGGUAGAGGAGUCUCCCCCUCCUGAAGCUUCUCUCUGCAGCUCCCCGACUGUCAGCUCUGUCUGUGCCAGCGUCUGUCUCUCUGCUCCACUCAGCAAAGUAAUAGGCUGUACUACUCUGUGAUAAAAGUAACCACACAGCAAGCUUUGUUAUUUGUUCAAUAUUUGCAGGAAAAAUUAUCCAAAAAGCACUGACACCACUAAAAUGCUGAUGAGUACUCCUGGUUGGCUUGGUGAAACUGUGACGCUCCUUAUUAUUCAGAACCUUAAUAUUCAGCCUUAAUAUAAUUUAAAUGAGUGAGUUAUAAAAUAAUUUGUGUUCUAGAGACCAAAAACAUUUUUUGUGCUAGGCUGUAAAUAUAUUUAUUUCUACUGUGAAGUUUGGCAUUUUAACAUGGGGGUCUAUGGAAAUUGAAUUGCUAUUGGAUGCUGCUUGAUUAGAACAAGAUUUUUUCCUGUUUUGCUCAGCUUUGGUGAAAUGAAAAAAGCCCAAUAAUAUUGAUACUGUUAUCUAAAAAAUAAAAUAAAAUAAAGUUAAAAAAGUAAUUCUUCUGAGAUAAAUAUUGGGUCUAUUUUGUACAAUCUGGGCAACUUUAUCUGGUUUUGGGAAAAUGUGAUUACAUUUUAUAUUUAUUCAAAGCCAGAGAAAAAUCUAAAUCCUUCUCCAGCUUUCAGGCAACUCUCUUUUACUGAGCAAGAGAAAAGGGCAUGCUCUGCUCAUGCUUCUCCCACCCCUCCCCCCACUUCUGGAAUGUGCAAAUUAAGAUUCAGCCAAUCAGAGCUCUCCAUGAGCCCAAGUAUCAAGGUGAAACUUCGGUCAGCAGCAAGACUAUGCUGUCCAGCUGCACGUCAUGGAGACAGUGAAACGGAGGAGAAAAACUAUUACAUGGAAAGACAACCAGUAUUCAUCAUUGAAAAUGCAAGCUGAAUUAUGCAGUAACCGAGGUAAGCCUUUUUUUUUUCCUAUGUCUGGCUGUUUGCAAGUGGUGUGUUUGAGAUGAAAGUGUGAUUGUGGUUAACGAGUAUAACUGCGUGGUUCAGCGGUGAUGAAGAGAGCAUGCUAGCUAGACUGUACAUUAGCAUAGCUGAUGCGAAGCUAAGCACAAGGCUAACAGGAACUGUGAGGAAGCUACUACGUUAAGCAGUGUUAGCACAGCCAGACACAGGUCAGUUCGACACAGGUCAGUCUUCAUAAAAUCUGACAACUGCAAUGUGGUAAAACUGAUGUGCACAUGAAGGCAACAUGAAGCUCCGGGGCUUAUGUGAGCUGUGAAACCCGGACACAGACAGCAUAGGAGAGAUUGAAAUAGGAGCUUAUAAAUGACACCAAAACAGUUUUUAUUCUCUACACUGUGGCGUUAUUCUACAGAUUUUCUCACAUAUAGUGCUUGGCUGGUGUUAAUUUUGGACCGUGCAGGCUUUGUCCCCUGACUGGUUUAUCUGCUUGGGCUUUAUAUGGACCAACAAUUAAUUAAUAUUGUCAGAUAGUGUUAUGUCAUAUGUUAGAUUCCACUAAUAAAAUGCUUUUCUUUUUAUGAAUGGUAGGGGAAACAGUGCUUUUUAAUGAAUCAUACUUCGUCUUUACACUAUAUUAUUUUCAAGUCUUAUCAAAGGCUGUUUUGCUUGAAAAUGUAACAGUACUGGUGUAUUUACUGAAAUCGAUUUGGUCUGUGUUAAUUUUUUCAAACAUAAAAUUUGGGUGCACCUCCUGGAGGAGCUAAAUAUGUUCUGUCCCAGGCUGCAGUCUCAGCAGGGACUUACUCAAUCAUCACACAAAGGCUGGAAAGUUGCUGUUGUAUUUUAUAUAAUUUGUUCACAUGUUGCUGGUCCCAUGCUGUGCGCACGGAAGGUGUGUGUGCGAGUUACUGUGGUUACUGCAUCCUGUCACUCUGACACCUUCUCCUGAUUCAGUAACAUGUUUUUAGGUUGGUCUGCCUCUACUAAAUUCAUGAACCUCAACACUCAAAUCUAAUGAUAUAAUUUUAGAUUUUGAUUGAAACCUUAGUCUCCUUCAUGAUGAAAUGUUUUGAUGUGUUAAGCAGGCUGUUCAGUUAGUUCAUACAUCUACUUCUGAAUAUCAGAGCACAGUCUGUAUCACAGUAGUCUUUGACCUGAGAUAAUGUCAGUUAAAUGAUCUGCUGUUAACACUGUGAUUAUUGGUUUGUGUGUGACAUUUAAAGGGAAGACUGAGCACUUUGGACCCUAUGGUCUUUGGUAUGUUAGUAUUGACUAUUCACUUUGUAUUUUAAGUAAUUUAGCACUUUUUGUUUAAUAUAUAUAUUGUAAUUAACACAUAAUGAUAUGUGCUCUAUUGUGAGACAUAUUUGUCUGUUUUGUUAUUUAUGGGAAUUGCCACAGCAACAUUGACAUUUAAUUUUACACCUGUAAGAUUCAGUUUCUUGUUUUCCUUGAAACAUUUUCAUAGGUAAGGAACAUGAAGCCACCUCAGCCAAGGGUUCAAGAGGAGUCAAAGUGAGCCAGACAUCAUUUUCAGACAGACAACUAGAAGAAAAUAAUGGUGGAGAUCUGCCAAGUCCGACCCCUACAAGUUCCCUUGUUGAGCACCGACAGGAAGCUGUAACUACACGAAGACAUAAUGAUGCUGGUGAUGAGGGUUUUGAUGAUGAGGAUGGAAGUUCUACUGUUGAGUACCGAUGGGAAGCUGUGACUACACGAGGACAUGAUGAUGAUGAUGAUGAUGAUGAGGAGGAGGAGGAGGAGGAGGAGGAGGAGGAGAGUGAUGAUGAAGAGUGUGAUUGCUGCUGCUGUUAAAACUGGUGCUUCAAAAGUGCACAGAAAGAGACCCUGUUCUGCUGAGGAGAGAACUGCUGUCAAGCGGAGGAUGACAGUUUGUAGCUCUCAGGAAAGUACCAGCAAAAGAUGACUGCCUGCUCUGCAUUGGUAAAGAGUCUCCUAUAUUUAACACCAGAAUAUGGGUAGAAAAAGGAGUCUGUUAUUCAUAAAGUUACCUAGUGUUAAGGGAUAUGAUGCAGAUCUGUUCACUAAGAACCACGCUGCUGGCUACAAGUUGCCAAUGUUGAAAUGUUGUAUCGAGUUGGCAGUAUUAUGUUUCUGUUGUUUCUCUGAGAACAACUGACAAUUUAUGAAAGAAGCUUUUCUUUGCAAUGUUUGCAAUAAAAUGUACAAUUAUGUGGGGCCUUGCUGAUUUGUCUUUUUUUUUUUUCAUGAAUUUCAGCAAUCAAAUAUCAAAAAUAAACCCAAUUUAAAAAUUCGCUUAAUGACAGUAAAUUUAUAACGAACGAAACUGGCUAUUGAGGAUUACAUUUUCUAAAAUUAAGCAUUUCAUAAUUUCAUAAGGUAAGAACAGAGUAUUAUACCAUGGAAUUAUGCCAAACCUGUCCUCAGUAGGCCUAGAGUAAGCAUAUCUCAGUCAAUAAUCCCAGUGAAAUACUGUAAAACAAUAAUCUCACAAACUAAGUUUCUGGUCCCCACUUUGGUGGUUAAAAUCUUUUAUCUGAAACUUUGUCUUUCACAAAAUCUAAGGUGGUGUAUAGGUUAAGGGUGCCCUCUACUGUCAAGAAAUGCUAUUUUUAUGUUGGUCUGUAGCGUGGAAGUGCCGGUCCUCGCUUUGUGAGUCUUUUUCACCGGACCUCACUAUGCAGCAAGUACAAGAAUGUGUGUGUGUGUGUGUGUGUGUGUGUGUGUGUGUGUGUGUG